rnacentral:rRNA from 1 species
AGAGUUUGAUCCUGGCUCAGGACGAACGCUGGCGGCGUGCUUAACACAUGCAAGUCGAACGCUGAAGCUUGGGUGUUUUUCAUCUGGGUGGAUGAGUGGCGAACGGGUGAGUAAUACGUGAGUAACCUGCCCUUGACUCUGGGAUAAGCCUGGGAAACUGGGUCUAAUACUGGAUACUACGUGCCCUCGCAUGGGGGUGUGUGGAAAGGGUUUUACUGGUUUUGGAUGGGCUCACGGCCUAUCAGCUUGUUGGUGGGGUAAUGGCCUACC